rnacentral:sRNA from 1 species
AGCACUUAUUUAUAGAAAGUGGAUGGUGAAAUAGAUUCAUCCAAUAUUUUCUAUAAUAGAAAAAAUACACAAGUUAUGGUUUUUUCUUAGUAGGGGGUAUCAAUUGUGAGCUAGCUCACAGUACCUCUAGUUUAUAAUAUAUUGAAGUAUUUCUCAAAGUUCAGUGUCCAAGUAUGCAAAAUACCUCACUAAUAAUAUUUGUAUUUUUGAGUUUAUUUUUUCUCUUCAUCGUUAAAAACCAUGAUAUGCUGUAUGUAAUGGCUACAAAAUUUAUAUGUAGGUGUAUGUGGCUUGAACCUGCAACCAAUAGGCAUGAUGAUCUAUGCAGUUUUAGGUGAUUUAAUAAUAACAAGAGUUUGUAAAGAAUGUUUAAAUAGAAUUUUUUUUUUAACAAUCAGUGAUAUUAACUAUUUAUUGAAAUGAGGACAUCUGUGAUAGACUUGUAAAGUUACAAAUAACACUGUAAUAGUAUGAUAUAAAACGAUCACUGUCUCAGAAUUUUUUGUAAGGUUUUUAUAGUCUGUGUACUGUACAUUCAUUACUAUAUAAUACAGUAUUUGUGUGAUGACAACUUGAUAGUUCCAUUGAUUAUCUUUAUUGUCUUUACACUAUGAAUAUUUCUUUACAUAUACUGUUAUAUUUACAUGUACAGUAUUUAUUGUGUAUUACACCAUUUUUUUCUCUCAAUUGUGUAAACUUAUAAAUUGAAGCUACAAUGAAUAAUGACAACAGAUGCAAUAUUCUUAUGAAAAUAUGGUUUGUCAAUAUCAUGUGCAUGUACAUCAAAAUAAUGUGCCUUAAAGUUUAUAUUUAAUAUUUGUCUACAGCAUUUUUUUGAAGUAUAUUUUUGCUAUUAUAUUAAUUAAAAGAUGUUGCAUUUUGUGAAACUUG